UAAUUUCAGAGGAGUAGUGAGUACAAUUCUUAGGAAAAGGGCUUCCACUUAAUGUAGGUGAGGCAGUCUUGAUUUCCCUAGGAUCCAUUCUCAUGAUGAGUAGUCUACUUGUACUACUCCCCUGGGCAGCCAUGGCAAUAUUUAGGCUUCCCUAGAUUGUCUUCAUUACAUUGUAAUUGGAGAAUAUCAAACUAUUAAAGUAGAUGAGAAAGGAUUUUUGCCAGAAAGGGAUAAUUCUGGAAAUCUACAGGACUAAAGAACUUUAUCAGUGUCUUUGGAACACUGUAGUGGAGUUUGGGAGAAAAAUGGCCAAGUAUGGAAUCUGAGGACUGGCCAAGGCAGCAGAAAUCUACGCUAGGAGAGUUGGCUUACACGUUAGAGGAACCUCUACUAAGGAUUUGAGUCACUUACUACAUUUUGGACCUGGCACCGUUUUGAUAUCAGACAAUAAAAGCAUCUGUAGUAUAAAUGGCGACAUAUUUUGGAUCUGAAACCCGAUAUAUUGUGAGAAUUUCCAUUCUUUCCCCCAAUACUUUGCAGUAUAAAAUCCUUGUAGCAAUAGGAAUAGAUUUCUGAGAGCAUGUCAGAUUUCCCAUCACAAAUAACCAAGUCAAAAUGUUUCCUAACUCAUGGACUUGUCCCCCUGCUCCUUUAUCAUUGACAUUUUUAUGACAGUCAUAUUAACUGACAAAGAUUCCGCAUUUUGACUGCUGGUAAUGUCACUUCUCUGGAAAUUGCCAGGUCACAGGCAAGACCAGCUCAGAAGAGCAGAGUCUGAGAUAAGAGGCAUUUGAAAUAUUUAUUGUUUGGCUUACAUGUUCCUUUUAGGAAGAGUUUUUCUCCAUAACAGACAAAUGAGGCUGGUAGAUUUGGCAGAAAGGGAAGGUUUUCUAUGUUCUUUGUUUAAGACAGUGAAUCAUGAUUCCUUCCUCGUUUCAAACAUGUACACGAGGCCCAUCAUUGAAUAAACAGCAACAGGAUCUACUCUUUUGAACUUAACAGUGACUCAGUAGUGUGCAGAGGUAUAAAUCUUAAUGUUUACAUUCUUCCUGUGCAUCUAGUCUCUGGUCUAGGAUGUAAUUUGUUUGACGUAUUGCUGCCAUUAAUGCGUCUGAGUCCCUCAGAGGCUCGGGGGAGGGGAAGAAGGUUUUCCCCAGUGAGUUCAGUACAGACGUGACCACAGGAGGGUGCACCUGAGCUGCCGAAGACCAGGCGGAGGGUCCAUGGUAGAGCAUCUGCAUGAGCAGGUCUGGCAGAAGCACAGUCGUCUUCUUAUUGGCUGGUGGACACGUGGGAAACCACUCUGACUGAUGCAGGAAAGAAGGGCGGGCCGGUACUAGAAGUAGCUGUGCUGGCUGGAGGUGGCAAUUCUGAAAGUGAUUGUAAUUGUAAUUGGGAGGAACCAUGAGGACAUCCGAGGGGGCUUUCAUCACGCUCUUGUGGCUGCCGCUGCACUGGCUCAGCAGAGGAGAGAAUGUGGAGCAGAGUCCAUCCACCCUGAGUGUCCAGGAGGGAAACAGCUCUGUUAUCACCUGUAGUUACUCAGACAGUGCCUCAAACUACUUCCCUUGGUAUAAGCAAGAACUUGGAAAAGGUCCCCAGCUCAUUAUAGACAUUCGUUCAAGUGUGGCCAAAAAAGAAGACCAAAGACUCACUGUUUUACUGAAUAAGACGGCCAAGCAUCUGUCCCUGCACAUCGCAGCCACCCAGCCUGCAGACUCAGCUGUCUACUUCUGUGCAGCAAGUGCACAUUGUGUCCCAGACACCUGCUGCCUGCACCCAAACCUGUGACUGGGCAACCCCUGUCCUUUGACACAGAACUUCAAGUAGAUCAUUUGUGCUAUUGUUUGUCUGCAGGCAGAAGCUAAUGUGUUAGACAUUAAAGCAUAACUUAAGACAACUGGGAUCGAGAUGACCCAGACAGGGUUAGAACAUUUUGUUGAAUCAUUGCUGCUUAUUGGAUUUUUGAAGGGAGUUAGUAAGGUUUUAUUUUGCAAUUCAGGUUUAAAGCUGAUUUACAUUUGCUGUUCAGACUCCUGACAUACAAACAACUUCUUGGUAAAUUGUCACAUUCCUGUCAUGCAUUAGCUUUCAACUCUUAUCUUUCCAGUACUGCAGAUGUUGCUUUUGUUCUGUUAUAAAACAUUGUGUGCUAAAUAUAGAAAAUAUGUAAAAAGCAAAGUGUGAAAUUGAUAAUUGUGUACCCAGCUAAUUUAUUAUCAAUGUUUCAUUUACGCUCUUCUUAAAUUCUAAUGUAAGUUGGAUUCUGAUUUUUUCCGUUCAAUGUUAUAUCCUGAAUUGAGCAUUCUCCUCUAACACCUGAUUUUUAAUAGCUCUGUGAGAGAUUUUCACAAGUCACAGUAAUAUUUUUAAUUUUUUUCCUCUUCUGUCUUUCUGGCAAUAUGUGGCAAUCCUUUCUGUGUGUUCUGAAUAUUUUCUUCUUGAGAAAAUGUGAGUUAGGAUUUUCUUGAGAGCCCAGUGAUGGUAUGUAUGUUAUGUAUAUUUGAGGAAAAUUAAAAGCAGAAGUGAUUUGUCAAGAAUUUGAAUUGAGAAUUAAGACUCUUUUCAAAACUUUGUUAGUAUUUUUUCACAUCUACAAUCAUAUAAUUUAGAAGGGAAAGUUGUAUCUUUCAAUCAUUAUUAUACAGAACAAACUUUUUUUUACAUAGUUGAUCAUCAAUAGAUGUUUAUUAAUGGAAGAAG